rnacentral:rRNA from 1 species
AUACAUGCAAGUCGAACGCGCAGCGAAAGGUGCUUGCACCUUUCAAGCGAGUGGCGAACGGGUGAGUAACACGUGGAUAACCUGCCUCAAGGCUGGGGAUAACAUUUGGAAACAGAUGCUAAUACCGAAUAAAACUUAGUAUCGCAUGAUACAAAGUUGAAAGGCGCUACGGCGUCACCUAGAGAUGGGUCCGCGGUGCAUUAGUUAGUUGGUGGGGUAAAGGCCUACCAAGACAAUGAUGCAUAGCCGAGUUGAGAGACUGAUCGGCCACAUUGGGACUGAGACACGGCCCAAACUCCUACGGGAGGCUGCAGUAGGGAAUCUUCCACAAUGGGCGAAAGCCUGAUGGAGCAACGCCGCGUGUGUGAUGAAGGCUUUAGGGUCGUAAAGCACUGUUGUAUGGGAAGAAAUGCUAGAAUAGGGAAUGAUUCUAGUUCGACGGUACCAUACCAGAAAGGGACGGCUAAAUACGUGCCAGCAGCCGCGGUAAUACGUAUGUCCCGAGCGUUAUCCGGAUUUAUUGGGCGUAAAGCGAGCGCAGACGGUUGAUUAAGUCUGAUGUGAAAGCCCGGAGCUCAACUCCGGAAUGGCAUUGGAAACUGGUUAACUUGAGUGUUGUAGAGGUAAGUGGAACUCCAUGUGUAGCGGUGGAAUGCGUAGAUAUAUGGAAGAACACCAGUGGCGAAGGCGGCUUACUG